AAUCUACUCCCUCCGUCCGAAAAUACUUGUCAUCAAAAUGAAUAAAAGGGGAUGUAUCUAGACAUAUUUUAGUUUGAGAUACAUCUUUUUUAAUCUAUUUUGAUGACAAGUAUUUUCGGACGGAGGGAGUAUGAA
rnacentral:pre_miRNA from 1 species